CGGGGGGAGCAAGCGUUGUUCGGAUUUACUGGGCGUAAAGGGCGCGUAGGCGGCCUCUGCAAGUCGACUGUGAAAUCUCCGGGCUUAACCCGGAACGGUCAGCCGAUACUGCAGGGCUAGAGUGCAGAAGGGGCAACUGGAAUUCUCGGUGUAGCGGUGAAAUGCGUAGAUAUCGAGAGGAACACCUGCGGCGAAGGCGGGUUGCUGGGCUGACACUGACGCUGAGGCGCGAAAGCUAGGGGAGCGAACGGGAUUAGGUACCCCGGUAGUCCUAGCCUUAAACGAUGAAUGCUUGGUGUCUGGGGUUUUAUAGUCCCCGGGUGCCGUCGCUAACGCUUUAAGCAUUCCGCCUGGGGAGUACGGUCGCAAGACUG
rnacentral:rRNA from 1 species